rnacentral:rRNA from 1 species
CCUACGGGUGGCAGCAGUGAGGAAUAUUGGUCAAUGGGCGGAAGCCUGAACCAGCCAAGUAGCGUGCAGGAUGACGGCCCUACGGGUUGUAAACUGCUUUUAUACGGGAAUAACGCGCCUUACGUGUAGGGCUUUGCAUGUACCGUAUGAAUAAGGACCGGCUAAUUCCGUGCCAGCAGCCGCGGUAAUACGGAAGGUCCGGGCGUUAUCCGGAUUUCUUGGGUUUAAAGGGAGCGUAGGCGGCAUGUCAAGCGUGCUGUGAAAUGUCCGGGCUCAACCCGGGCCUUGCAGCGCGAACUGGCGUGCUGGAGUCCGCGGAAGGCAGGCGGAAUUCGUCGUGUAGCGGUGAAAUGCUUAGAUAUUGCGCAGAACUCCGAUGGCGAAGGCAGCAUACCGGCGGCGAUCUGACGCUGAGGCACGAAAGCGUGGGUAUCGAACAGGAUUAGAUACCCUUGUAGUC